AGAGACCUAAGAAUAGGAUGGGA
rnacentral:piRNA from 1 species